rnacentral:rRNA from 1 species
CCUACGGGAGGCAGCAGUGAGGAAUAUUGGUCAAUGGACGAGAGUCUGAACCAGCCAAGUAGCGUGAAGGAUGACUGCCCUAUGGGUUGUAAACUUCUUUUAUAUGGGAAUAAAACACGGCAUGCAUACCCUCUUGUAUGUACCUUAUGAAUAAGCAUCGGCUAACUCCGUGCCAGCAGCCGCGGUAAUACGGAGGAUCCGAGCGUUAUCCGGAUUUAUUGGGUUUAAAGGGAGCGUAGGCGGAUUGUUAAGUCAGCUGUGAAAGUUUGCGGCUCAACCGUAACAUUGCAGUUGAAACUGGCGGUCUUGAGUACGGUAGGGGUAGGCGGAAUUCGUGGUGUAGCGGUGAAAUGCUUAGAUAUCACGAAGAACUCCGAUUGCGAAGGCAGCGCACUGGA